GACGAACGCUGGCGGCGUGCCUAAUACAUGCAAGUCGAGCGGAACACUUGGAGCUUGCUCCAAGCGUUUAGCGGCGGACGGGUGAGUAACACGUGGGCAACCUGCCCUGCAGAUCGGGAUAACUCCGGGAAACCGGUGCUAAUACCGAAUAGUUUUGGGUCCCUCCUGGGACCCAACGGAAAGACGGUUUCGGCUGUCACUGCAGGAUGGGCCCGCGGCGCAUUAGCUAGUUGGUGGGGUAACGGCCCACCAAGGCCACGAUGCGUAGCCGACCUGAGAGGGUGAUCGGCCACACUGGGACUGAGACACGGCCCAGACUCCUACGGGAGGCAGCAGUAGGGAAUCUUCCGCAAUGGACGCAAGUCUGACGGAGCAACGCCGCGUGAGUGAUGAAGGUUUUCGGAUCGUAAAACUCUGUUGCGAGGGAAGAAACCGUGCCAGCUAACUACUGGCACCUUGACGGUACCUCGCCAGAAAGCCACGGCUAACUAC
rnacentral:rRNA from 1 species